rnacentral:rRNA from 1 species
CACGGGGGUGGCAAGCGUUGUCCGGAAUUACUAGGCGUAAAGGGCAGGUAGGCGGAUCUGUAAGUCGGGCGUUUAAACCUCAGUCUCAAGCUGAGACAUGCGCCUGAUACUGUAGAUCUAGAAUGCGGCGGGGGAAGACGGAAUUCCGGGUGUAGCGGUGGAAUGCGCAGAUAUCCGGAGGAACACCGAAGGCGAAGGCAGUCUUCCAUACCGUAAUUGACGCUGAACUGCGAAGGUGUGGGGAUCAAACAGG